AUAUCCGUAAACCCCGGAUCCGGAUAAGAAUAGUAAAACUAUGGAUCCGCCGGAUAAAGAUCUGGAUUCGGAUACCUUAAAAUUGUCCGGAUACCCGAUCCGUCCCAGACCUAGUUGUAUGUACAGAUAAAACGCAUUCACAUUUGCAAGUCUUUUUAAAUUGCGUAAAAAAGUUCGUUAAACAUUUAACUACUUAUUGGCCGAAAAUAACUUUAGUGUUGUCAAAUUAAGAUAUGGUUCGGUAAAAAAAGAAGAAGAUAUGGUUCGUUAUGUAACGACAACUUAUAAUAUGACAAUUAAUGUUUGUUUUGCUGGAAAUAACCAAACAUAUACACCUUCCCAUCCCCCAAGCGACUCUGAGCCAAACGAAACGUGUUUAUAAGAGACGCGUUCACGGAUGUUUCGCUUGGAUAUAUGGCGGUUCUUCCUUUAAUAAAAAAUAAAAAAUGCAGCGGCUUUUCAAUUUUUUUCAAAUGGAUACUCCUUCGGUUUCAUUAAGAUAAAAGUUAUAGAAACAAAUCUUGUUUCACAAAAAUAAUUUUUUUAUGUUUUUUAUACAAAAAUAAUUUUUUAUGUUUUUUAUACAAAAAUUACAAAUUUCAAUAAAAUUAUUUGGAUUUACUGAAAUAUUAUUGGCUAAAAAUCAUUGAAAUUUGAUAAUUUCAAAAAAUGAUACAUGAAUACAUGAUUAAUGUGUUUUCUUAAUAUGUGUAAAAACACCAAAACAUCUAUCUUUAAGAAACAUAGAGAGUAUAUUUUCAGCAAUUGCUUAAAUUAUUUUCGAGUUUUGUUAGUACUAGUAUAUUUUUACGUAUAGAUUAACAAUUGUCCGUUCAGAUUAUUUUAACAAGUUACUUUUCCAAGAUUUUUCCCAUUUACAGUACACAUUGUAUUUGUAGCCUUGGAUUAUCUAUACUCGUUGUAAUAUGUUUAUAAUGUCACGUAAAUAGAGGAAAUGAAAUUAUUAUUUUUUUUGCUAAAGAAUUUAAUAUACGAUAAGCUGCUACUUAUCGGGAAACCUAAGUUCAUACGAUUGUAUAUAUAGUCAAAGAGAUAAACAAAAAUGUUUGGUUAAUUUCAAUUUGAAAAUGUGAAUCAAGCCUGAACAUUGACCUUUUAAUCCGUGACAGUUAUUAUCGGUCAAUAUAGUCAUUAAGUAUACAAUCAAGAUCUUAAUUCUGUGAGAGCGAAACCUCAUCUAUACUAUACUAAAAGGAAGAUAUCCUCAUCAUAUAGCUAUGCCACGUAUUACAAAAUAAUCAACCAAUCAUAUUCUGUUUUUUACACAUGUGGGCUUCGUCCUGCUUCUGCUAUUCACGUUUGGGCCUGAACUUUUUUUUCCAAAUUAACAAACGAACUUGGCAUCUUCCUCUCUACCCUUUCGUUUUCUCCGAUUGAAAAACCUGAAGAAUGAGUUCAGAUCUAUGCUUUACGUCAAUCAAUUUCUCCUUUAUAAUAAACUUUAAGCAUGUCAAUAUUUUGUUUCGUUUUCUUUGUUUCAAUCAUCCAUUGAUAGUUUCGUUUCGUUUUCUUUGUUUCGUCCCUAUUUAUACAAAGAUGCCUUUUCAUUUUAGAAACCCUAAUCGAAAACUCACUCUCCUCAACAAAACACUAUGUCGACAAAGCCAAACGGCAAAUCGAUCAUCUCCUCCUCCGACGGCAACGGCGAGUCGAAAACCGGAUCUAAUCCCGUUCAAUCCACCGUGGUUAAAGCGAACGGCAAGACGCAUGUUUCCUCCGAUGACAAUCGCGAACUAAUGCUCUUCAACGAAGUAUCCUUGGGUCCUCAGGAAACCAAUUUACGGUUUCGUCUGGUUCACUUCUGGGAGGCUCGAAACCCACUGCAAAAGACUCUGAUCGGUCUUGAGAUGCUUCUCAUCGACGAACAGGUUAUUAACCCUCUCGCUUUUGUUGCUGUCAAAGAUAUUUAGUAUCAUGUUCUUCGUAUGAUGUUGAAGUGAUUAACCUCUUGCUUUUGUUACUGUUAAAAAUAUUUAGUAUCAUGUUUUUCUUAUGAUGUUGAAGAGAUUAACUUUGAAACCGCUUUGGAGAGCUUCUUUUGAAUUUUAAUUAUGUUAUUCUUUUUUUUUUCACUUACGCUCGAACUUCAUUUGUUUGCAGGAGACCGUUAUUCAAGGCUUUGUCCCACCAGGAAGAAUCAAAAAAUUCAUGCCACAUAUGAGACAAGGCGGUCUGGUCUCUACACUCUCACCAGCUUCUACGGAUCCAGAAACAAAGAGGUGUUCCGGGUUGCUGCUCACAGCGUGACAAUCUCCUUCUCCCACACUUCCGAGUUGGUGCCCCUUGAGAACAUCCCGUGGACUUCGAGGAGGACCGUUUCCGGUUCCAUUCCUAUGAAGACUUCGAAGCUGGCUGUGAUAUGAAAAGUGAUCUUUACGGUAAGUUUUCUAUCAUUUAGUAAUAUGUUGCUUCCACAUACUUGGUUUGUUAUUUUAUACACAAUAUCUCACAAUUAGUAGCUAACUAUCUACAAAAAAACAGUAUCUGAUUUUAGAUUAGGGUGUUAUCUUAAAUUCAUAACUUAUUAAUUAUAAGCUUUCUCAACAACAUUCUGCUUCUCAACCUGUACCAGAUGUUAUUGGACACUUGAAACUGGUUAACGGCUAGAGCCUCAAUAUGCGUCCCUUCAUUGACGAUGCCGAGCUCGCAACCACUCGGCGUAUAUUGGUGCAUGUGCAGUCGCAUGCGGGACCUGUUAUGAAGCUCUAUCUUUGGGACCAAGCUGCUGUGGAUUUCUGCAAGAAGUUCAAGUCUUCUGACAACACUCCCUCCGUGAUUUUGGUGACUACUGUUUACCCCAAACGUUUAGGAGGUACGCUUUUCACUAUCUCAGACUGAAUCGCACCUUACAAUCUUAAAUUCUCCGUAUAGCCCAUAUACUUUACCUCUGUGUCAUCGCAGUCGUUUAGCUUUGUUCUUUGUAGUUGUUUAAUUUUUAUAAAUAUCGCAUAGAGAGUAAAAGCAUAAACAAAGAACUAAUAUGUAUAUUUUCUGUUUCAUUUGCCUUUGUCUAUGACAACAUAAUACUACAGGCACACUUGCUCUCACAUCCAUGACCUCCUCACGGGUCUUUUUGACUACGAGGUCCAACCAACUAAAGAGUAUAUCGGCUGGUAUGUUUAAAAAUUUAGUAUAUAAUAGUUAGAACCCUUGCCACUUACAAUCAGUUUGAGUUAUGAAAUGUUUUCAAACGUUGGAGCAGGUUGGAAAUAAAUCCAUAUAUUGCCAAGCAGGUCAAUGCAGAUGUGGUUACAAAAACUGAGACAUUGACUAUUGGAGAAAUAUUCUCCUACAUGAAGCAGGGAGCUGUGAAGGUAUAAAAAAUUAUAUUUGUUUCUAAUUCAUUGUUUAACAUAUUUUUACUUAUCUUAAUUGCUUACACAUUGUCUCAGGAUGUUUUCUUUGUGUGCACUGCGACAAUCGAUGAUGUUGUCCACGACUCUUCUUGGUAUUAUAUAGCAUGCAGUGGGUUCAAAACAAAGGCAACCAAAGGGCCAACCUCCCUUAUGUGCGCAAAAUGUGGCAAGAACGAUGUUGCCGGUGAACCACAGUAUGAACUCUAACCCCUUGAUUCAAUUUUAGUUUAGCGGUGACUAACUGCUAAUAUUUUAAUGCCAGGUACCUAGCUAAGAUUAUGUUUAUGAUAAGAGUGAUGAGGCUGUUUUUGUUCUCCUUGGCGAUGCCGGUCGUGAGCUAACAGGGAAGCAUGCGUCGGAGUUGGUUAGCAAUUAUUUUGAGGCCAAUGGAAAUAAAGAAAAUGGAUUCGAGGUGCCCGUUCCGCAAGCUCUGCUCAACACCAUAGGGCAAACACACAAGUUCAAUGUAAAGGUGACUGAGCACAAUUUUUCAGGCAGGACGCGGGUAAUAACCGUGACGAAGGUCCUGUCCCCAUCUGCUCCACUAUCUACACAAGAUCCAGUUGCUGAUCAAAUUAGUGGCUCUGGUAAUGGAACACUUGCGACUGGGUAUGACGUUAUUGAGCCAUCCAAAAGCCCUCAAGAUUCUGCAGAGGUAGGGCUGAAAAGGAUGGGUGAUGGUGUUGAGAUAGGCAACGCUAAACGUUCUAAAGAUGGGAACUAAUAUGCCUCUCAUCGUGGCAAAGAAUGCAACUUUUACUACACUUAUCUGUUUUAGCUUUCCAGUUUUUUUUUGCUUUUGUUUGACUCUUUCUCCUAAUUCUGCUUAUUUCAUACUUUUGAAUCUAUUUUGGAAACAAUUUGUUUUUUAAAGCAUGGUACUAACUUUUUUGAAUCAGCAUGAGUUUCACGUUAAAAGCA